rnacentral:rRNA from 1 species
UACGGAGGGGGCUAGCGUUGUUCGGAAUUACUGGGCGUAAAGCGCACGUAGGCGGACUGUUAAGUCGGGGGUGAAAUCCUGGGGCUCAACCUCAGAAUUGCCUCCGAUACUGGCAGUCUCGAGUGCGGGAGAGGUGAGUGGAAUUCCCAGUGUAGAGGUGAAAUUCGUAGAUAUUGGGAAGAACACCAGUGGCGAAGGCGGCUCACUGGCCCGUAACUGACGCUGAGGUGCGAAAGCGUGGGAGCAAACAGG